rnacentral:rRNA from 1 species
CCUGAACGCUGGCGGCGUGGCUAAGACAUGCAAGUCGCACGGUGUAGCAAUACACAGUGGCGAACGGGUGAGUAAUGAAUCGCUAAUGUACCCCGGACUCUGGGAUAGCUACCCGAAAGGGUAGGUAAUACCAGAUGAUAUGCAGCUAUCGCAUGAUAGUUGCCUCAAAGGUCCGCCGGUCUGGGAGCAGGCGAUUUCGUAUCAGCUAGUUGGGAGGUAACGGCUCACCAAGGCGAUGACGCGUAGCCGGACUGAGAGGUUGGCCGGCCACAUUGGGACUGAGACACUGCCCAGACUCCUACGGGGGGCUGCAGUAACGAAUCUUCCGCAAUGCACGCAAGUGUGACGGAGCGACGCCGCGUGUAGGACGAA